rnacentral:tmRNA from 1 species
CGGGAUCGCCGACCAGUCGCCCUGUCCCUCGGGCGGUGGAAGGUUAAACACAAUAGAGCGGACUAAGCAUGUAGGACCGACGGCGGAGGGCUCGCGGACGCGGGUUCGAUUCCCGCCGCCUCCACCA